rnacentral:rRNA from 1 species
AUUGAACGCUGGCGGCAGGCCUAACACAUGCAAGUCGAGCGAGCGGCGGACGGGUGAGUAAUGGCUGGGUAACUGCCUGAUGGGGGGGGAUAACUACUGGAAACGGUAGCUAAUACCGCAUACCAUCAGAUGUGCCCCGGGGGGGUUAGCUAGUAGGUGGGGUAACGGCCCACCAAGGCGACGAUCCCUAGCUGGUCUGAGAGGAUGACCAGCCACAUUGGAACUGAGACACGGUCCAGACUCCUACGGGAGGCAGCAGUGGGGAAUAUUGCACAAUGGGCGAAAGCCUGAUGCAGCCAUGCCGCGUGUGUGAAGAAGGCCUUCGGGUUGUAAAGCACUUUCAGCGGGGAGGCGUUACCAGCAGAAGAAGCACCGGCUAACUCCGUGCCAGCAGCCGCGGUAAUUC